rnacentral:tRNA from 1 species
GGAAGAUUCGCAUAAUGGUAUUGCACCGGGUUGCUAACCCGGCGGGCUUGCAAGAGCCUAUGUGCGUUCGAGUCGCACAUCUUCCGCCA